rnacentral:rRNA from 1 species
UGGGGAAUUUUGGACAAUGGGCGAAAGCCUGAUCCAGCAAUGCCGCGUGUGUGAAGAAGGCCUUCGGGUUGUAAAGCACUUUUGUCCGGAAAGAAAUCCUUGGCUCUAAUACAGUCGGGGGAUGACGGUACCGGAAGAAUAAGCACCGGCUAACUACGUGCCAGCAGCCGCGGUAAUACGUAGGGUGCAAGCGUUAAUCGGAAUUACUGGGCGUAAAGCGUGCGCAGGCGGUUUGCUAAGACCGAUGUGAAAUCCCCGGGCUCAACCUGGGAACUGCAUUGGUGACUGACAGGCUAGAGUAUGGCAGAGGGGGGUAGAAUUCCACGUGUAGCAGUGAAAUGCGUAGAGAUGUGGAGGAAUACCGAUGGCGAAGGCAGCCCCCCUGGGCCAAAUACUGACGCUCAUGCACGAAAAGCGUGGGGGAGCAAACAGGAUUAGAUACCCUGGUAGUCCACGCCCUAAAACGAUGUCAACUAGUUGUUGGGGAUUCAUUUCCUUAGUAACGUAGCUAACGCGUGAAGUUGACCGCCUGGGGAGUACGGUCGCAAGAUUAAAACUUAAUGAAUUGA